GUCAGGCAUGGUGGCGCACUCCUGUAAUCCCAAAGGCUCUGGAGGCUGAGACAGGAGGAUCAAGAGUUCAAAGCCAGCCUCAGCAACUGGGAGGCACUAAGCAACCAGUGAGACCCUGUCUCUA
rnacentral:sRNA from 1 species